UGGAAAAUUGAAGAGGAGGAGGAGGAGGAAGGGGGAGAUCAAACACAUAGCAAUCUAAAAAGAGAGGAAGAAAUCCAAUUAAGGACAGAAGAAGAAGGAAAUGUAUGCAAUCAGAUGAUUUCCCCACCAAAGGCAACUAUAUAACAGGCUCUAAGACUCGUUGUUUAUGCAUCACAGGAAAGAAAUAAAAGUCAGUAGAGAGAAACAGACCACAGCAGGAAAGGAGAGAUGGCUGCAUGGAUAAUUGGGUUUAUAAAGGUGAGAAAAUAGCUGAAAGCGACAGUGUGUUAACAUGAAGAAGGGAAAAAAAGAGAGGAAGGAAGGAGUAGUCCCAGCUGGCAUAGGUGGCGGUAAAGCGCCUUAAUGAUGGGAAAAAAGAAGAAGAAGAGGAACGUGCUGCACAGCCAGUGGCAGGCCGAGGAGAUUGCUGCCAACGAGGGCGAAUCUGAGAUGGAGGCAGGAGCAGGAGAGCUGUCCGGCUUGUCAGGCUUCCAAGAUAAUGUUUUGGCAUCUGUGUUGGCAAAAAAUGUUGCUGACACUAGAUAUCAUCAUGAUAUCACCAGCUAAGUAGUUACCACACAUUAGCUCAUAGGGCUACCUUGGCUUGUUUGUAUUAGGCUGCUUUUUUUCCACAUCGCCCAAUCCAUUGGUUGAAGAGUAGGUAGAAUUUCAGUCAACCAAGAUUUUCUUUGGAUGACUACAGCUCUAAUCAUUAUAAAAAUAAGUCUGUAGUUAUUAAUUCAGGACAAAGCAUUGGC